GAGACAGCAGCAGCCGCGGUAAUACGAAGGGUGCAAGCGUUAAUCGGAAUUACUGGGCGUAAAGCGUGCGUAGGCGGUUUGUUAAGUCUGUUGUGAAAUCCCCGGGCUUAACCUGGGAACUGCAUUUGUGACUGGCGGGCUAGAGUAUGGCAGAGGGGGGUAGAAUUCCACGUGUAGCAGUGAAAUGCGUAGAGAUGUGGAGGAAUACCGAUGGCGAAGGCAGCCCCCUGGCCCGAUACUGACGCUGAGGCACGAAAGCGUGGGGAGCAAACAGGAUUAGAUACCCCCGUAGUCCCUGUCUCUUAUAC
rnacentral:rRNA from 1 species